GAACUCUAAAGGUAUUUCUGCUCUCUUUGUCACUGGGAUGUUUUGUGGUCCUCCUCUUACAGCUUUCCUACCUUUUCUCUCAAUUGUCAGGGAAACAGAGUUUGCUUUGUUAUGAUUGUAAGACAACCUAUUGUUGCCCUUUAAAUCUGUGGUGGAUAACUAGGCCUUUGUCACAGAAUCGAAAUUCCAUGCUUCGUGGACUUGAACAUAAGGGAAUGAACAGUUUAGAAGCCAAACUCUGAAAAGCAAUGGGCAAAGCUGCAAAAGACAGGCAGAAAUCUGCCAGUUGGUAUCUGACUCGAAAAAUCGCAAUAGUCACAUCUGGACAUGUACGCUGUCAACACCUACACUGGGGUCCUGAGUACCGGCUUGUGUUCCCUGCAUGCAAGACUGAACUAACAAAACAAGGGUGCUGUUGAUUUGCAAGACUCUGAUUUGUUCCGUUCAAGAGCAUGCACCUAGCAGCAGAUGCAGCAGACUCAGCAGAUGGCCUGAAUCCCUGCACCUUACAGAGAACUAAACUGCUAGUGUGGAAACCAGCUGCCUUAGCAGGAUGAGAUAAAUAAAAUGAAAAGUCCCCUCCAA